GUGCUGAUAACCAAGGCCCAUUUUCCUGGCCUGUUAUGUGUGUGAUUAUAUUUGUCCAGGUUUCUGUGUACUAGACAAGGAAGCCUCCUCUGCCCCAUCCCAUCUACGCAUAAUCUUUCUUUUCCUCCCAGCAGGGAGUGCUCACUCCAUAAGACCCUUACAUUUGGACAAUCAAGGUGCACAAUUGUAAGUGACCACAACCAUGCAUCUUGGAAAUUUAUGUGCAUAACUGCACAUGGCUUAUCCUAUUUGAAUAAAGUCCUACUCUCAGACCCCCUUUGCAGUAUAGCUGGGGUGCUGAUCACUGAGGCCUCUUUGCUUGGCUUGUCUAUAUUCUUGUGUACUAGAUAAGGGCACCUUCUCAUGGACUCCCUUUGCUUUUCAACAAGGAGUACCCACUACUUUUUAAGAUUCUUAUAUUUGUCCAAAGUACAUGGUUUUAAUUGACCACAACAAUGUCCCUUGGACAUUAAUGUAUGUAAUCACCACAUGGUUCAUCCUAAUUAAACAAAGUUCUACCUUCUCACCCUCCAUUUGCAGUAUACCAGGGUUGCUGACCCCCUAAGUCCCCUUUUCUUGGCUUGUUGACAUGCAUAAUUGCAUUUAUGUUGGUUCUUGUGCCCUAGACAAGGAUGCCCCACCUCUUUUCAAUAGUGGGUGCCCACUCCUUAUGAUCUUUACAUUUGAACAGUUAAUGUGAAUAAUUGCAGUUGUCCACAACCCUAUCACUUCUAGGACCAUUAUACCUCUUUUGCAUUACUGUGGGGUAUACUGUUUCCCUCCAAGGCCCCUUCUGGUGGACUAUCAACAUAUAAUUGAAAUUUUCUUUUGUCUUUGUCAGUAGAUUAAGGUCAUACCCCAUCACCUUUCCUUUGUAGUACAACAGGGUGUCCUGAUCAACCAAAGUCCUGUUGUUUUGGACUGUUAAUAUGUGCAAUUACAUUUGCUCCUGAUCUGUGCACUAGAUAAGGAUCCUACCUACUUUCUUAGUGUUUUUAGCAGGUAGUGCCCACUACUCAAGACUGUCACUUGGAAUGUUCAUGUGCACAAACUCAAUUCUCUAAGCAUGUUCCUGUACCACCUUUGCUUUAGAGCAGGGGGAUGAUAUUCACUAAGUGCCCCUUCUUUUGGACUUAAUAUGCAUUAAUGCAAUUGUCCACCUCUUCUUUUAGACUAAGAGUUGAUCUCCACAUAUUCCCCUUGCAUCAGGGGCAUGUUAAUUAUGAAUGAACCCUUUUCUUUUAAUAUUAAUGUCAUAAUUGUAUUUGUGGACCUGUGUAGGAGAAAAAGACCCUAUGUUCCUCCCAUUACCCUUUGGAUUGCUGCUGAGAAGUGUUAACUACUCAUAAUCUCAGCUCUUGGACAAUUAAUAGCAUUAAUAACAAUUAUCAAGGGCACUGAUCAUUAGAUAAGACUCCUGCUUCCUCGUUGCUUACAUCGGGGGUACUGACCCACUAAGGCCCCUUGUACUGUUAAUGUGAAUAUUUGCAAUUAUAUAUGUCUCCUUCUGGUAGAGUGGGAUAUUAUGCCCUAGUAUCCCCUUUGCAUUACUGCAGGGGCUGCUGACUACUCAAAACUUCUCCUGGGACUGUUAAUAGGCACAAUGGCAGUUAUCAAUGGUUUUCUCCCUCCCUGACCUUGUUAAGCAAGCGCCCCACCCCACCCUUAGUUUCCCAUGGCAUAAUAAAGUAUAAGCAUUGGAGUAUUCCAUGCACUUGUCUAUCAAACAGUGGUCCAUACUCCCAACCCUUUUGCAUUGCGCCAGUGUGUAAAAUCACAGGUAGCCAUGGUGUCAUGCUUUAUAUACGAAGUCUUCCCUCUCUCUGCCCCUUGUGUGCCCUUGGCCCCUUUUUACAGACUAUUGCUCACAAUCUCAGGUGUCCAUAUUUGCAGCUAUUAGGUAAGAUUGUGCUGUCUCCCUCUUCCCUUCCCUCUGCCCUGCCCCUUUUGCCUCUUUGCUGGGUAAUGUUGACCAGACAAGGCCCUUUCUCUUGGACUUAAACAAUUCUCAGUUGCACUUUCCUUGGUCCCACCCAUUAUACAUGAACCCCUCUACUUCCUUUCGCAUUGCUUCUGAGUAUGCUGACUACCCAAAGCCCCUUCUGUGUUAUUAAUAAACACAGUACUGAUUGUCCCAUUUUUCAGCCCAUCAGUCCAAGAUCUCCCUACCACUUUGGUGUGUUGGUGCAGUGUUGACUAUGAAAAGCAGGCCUGAACUAGGUGGAUAAGCCUUCACUCAUUUUCUUUCAUUUAUUAAUGAUCCUAGUUUCAAUUAUUGUCAGAUUCUGGGGACAAGAACCAUUCUUGCCCACCUGUGUUACUGCUUUACUGUGCAAAAUACUGAAGGCAAGUCAGACCCAGGGAGCUGGAUUGCCAUCCUUUAUUUUGUGUUUCCAGUGUACACUAUAAAAUUGUCUCCCCAGGAAGGAAGGUUGGCACUUUCUCUGCAUUCUUCUUUCCAGAGCAGAUUGCCUGGUUAAGAAUCUCUUGUUGUCCCCUUUGUAUAUUGUUAUUGUAAAGUGCCAAAUGCCAGGAUACAGCCAGAAAAAUUGCUUAUUAUUAUUAAAAAAAUUUUUUUAAGAAAGACAUCUGGAUUGUAGGGUGGACUCGAUAACCUGGUCAUUAUUUUUUUGAAGCCAAAAUAUCCAUUUAUACUAUGUACCUGGUGACCAGUGUCUCUCAUUUUAACUGAGGGUGGUGGGUCUGUGGAUAGAACACUGACUCUUGCUAUUUUAAUAUCAAAGAUAUUCUAGAGUGGAACUCUUAAGACCAGUAUCUUUGUGUGGGCUUUACCAGCAUUCACUUUUAGAAAAACUACCUAAAUUUUAUAAUCCUUUAAUUUCUUCAUCUGGAGCACCUGCCCCUACUUAUUUCAAGAAGAUUGCAGUAAAACGAUUAAAUGAGGGAACAUAUGCAGAGGUGCUUUUAAAAAGCAUAUGCCACCUUUUUUAUUAAUUAUUAUAUAAAAUGAAGCAUUUAAUUAUAGUAAUAAUUUGAAGUAGUUUGAAGUACCACACUGAGGUGAGGACUUAAAAAUGAUAAGACGAGUUCCCUAUUUUAUAAGAAAAAUAAGCCAAAAUUAAAUAUUCUUUUGGAUAUAAAUUUCAACAGUGAGAUAGCUGCCUAGUGGAAAUGAAUAAUAUCCCAGCCACUAGUGUACAGGGUGUUUUGUGGCACAGGAUUAUGUAAUAUGGAACUGCUCAAGCAAAUAACUAGUCAUCACAACAGCAGUUCUUUGUAAUAACUGAAAAAGAAUAUUGUUUCUCGGAGAAGGAUGUCAAAAGAUCGGCCCAGCUCAGGGAGCAGUUUGCCCUACUAGCUCCUCGGACAGCUGUAAAGAAGAGUCUCUGGCUCUUUAGAAUACUGUAAGUACUACUUCGUAGCUAUUAAGUAAUCUUUUUCCUAUUCUAUUUUCUUUCUCUUAGAUGCCACCUAUAGAAAAGUCAGAGGGUCCAGUAAGUUUCUUUCCUUCUUCCCACCUCAUCUGCAAUAUAUAUAUAUAGAGAGAGAAAUAGAUACAUACAUACAUGCAUAAAUACACAUAUGUGAGUUAACCAGCAGAACUGUAGAAUUAAUAUUGUGGACCCAGCUCUAUGCUAGGUUACACUGAUAACCUGGGUAGGAAUGAUAUCAUCCUAUAUAAUUUCAUUCCUGAGAUGAUUUUAUCGUUGAGGAGCUAAUGUGAGCACAUUUGAAAUAACUUUAGAAAAUAAUAAGUGCUGUUUUGUGUGAAUCAUAAGUAGUAGUUUUAGGAAGGGAACCCACAAGGAUUUGAAGUUGAUAGAAUAAACUUAAGGAAGUGGGUUUGCUUUUUCUCUUUAAGCCAAGAUAGGAUUAAUAUUGCAGCCAUCUGGAUAGUCCAGUUGGUUUAUUUUAAUUUCAUUUGUUUUUUACCUCUUUUGGAGCCAUGGAAAGAGAUGAAAGGGAUAGAGCAUAGCCAUUGUGUUUGGCUAUUUGCGAAGGUUGGCAAAUUAGUGAUUGCUAAAUCUCAUAAGCUUGAGUAUUUUAAAGUUCAGAGAUUGAGGGCAUAAAUCUAAUACUUCGGCUCCUUCCACAAUUUUACUACAUUUCUGCCCAAGAACAGAUGACCAUGGAUAAUGCAUAUCGUAGAUACUUUUUAAGUUUGGAACCUUUUUGCCAAGAGGGUAGUGGAGAAGUGAAGUCAAAACCUUGACCUUCCUUGCCUACUUUAUGCUGUAGUUUAUAUACCUUCUUUCCUCCCACCUUUCGUAAAGCUAAAAGAAGCUUAGCCUCCUUAAUGUUUUCCAGCUGACAAAAUAUUGUUUAACAUAACAUUCGAAACUUUUUUUCUGGUGCACAUUCAUGCAUCACAGCAGGAGCAACAAGAACCAUAUAAGUGAACUGGCUUCACUUAUAGCCCGUUUUAAUUCAUAUCCAUAUUUCCUCAGGGCUUGUUUCCAUGCCUCCCAGCCCCACUCCAUAUGCUUAACAACAUUGUCUGGCUGACUGAGGGUUAUAUACAUCAUGGUCUUGAACCUUCUUGGAAACAUGGUCUGUGCCAUUGUUUCUCAAACCCAAGUAAUGCUUCAUGAUGAAACACCUUCUAAAGGAACAAAAUUUUCUGAGAUCCUAAAAAAAUGUGUUUUGAGGAACACUGACUUAACAAAGAUAUUUGAAAUGUAAAUAUGUUUUCCAAUUUCACGUUGUCUUUGUCAAAGAUGUGUUUUAUAUAACUUAUGUAGAACUUGGGGAUCCAUUAGAAUAUAUUCACAAAUCCCCAGGGUUAUCACCCCAAUUUGAGAAACCCUGGUCUAUGCUUAUGAAAUCUUCUAUUGGUAAUUAAAUUGUCAUUCAUUGUCAACAUACAAUUAUAAUUAUUAUUGGAAUUUGUUUUAAAUGAAUGAAUUUGGAGGUGAUUCUGUACCUUAAGUCAAGAGGAAGGAUGGCUUGAUUUUAGGUGGAUUGAUUAUACUAGAUAGCAUCCAAAGGUGAAUCUUGAAGCUGUAUUUAAAUUCAUUGCUUGAAAUAAUUUCCACCCUUAAGAAAAAUCUCUAGCAAUUGUAAAAAGGGAUGCUCUGGAAAUGUGGGCAUCUUCAAAAUAGAGAUAAUUCUUGUGUUAGUUCAACAAAUAUUAUUGUACCAGGUGCUGGAAUAAAUAGCAAAACCAAAGACAGGAUUUAUAUCAAGGAAUUUGCUUUCUUAUGGAGGAUGCAGAAGGAAAUCAUUAUGGUUUUGGGCAGAAAUGCUUAGACUUUAGUCCUGGCUCUGAGUUUGGUUCAGAUCACCAUCAAUCUGACCAUCUCGAGACUGCUAGUGAAAUAAGAUAGGGGCUUAUAUCAAAUACCUAAAUCCCUGAAAAUGACAUUUUGUGAUUUGGAAAAUUUUCAAAAGUCUAAUGAAGGAAACUUUUUUGGCAUUUCUUUAAAUGAUUAUUGUCAUUUCUUUUCUGACUUUUCCCUUUAUAAAACCUUAACAUGUAGGAUUGGAGGAAGUUUUCUGACCAUUUUCUCAUAUCCUCUUUCAGCUUUAUCUUUCUGUAACUUCCAUUUCUCUAGCCACCUCCCUAAAUUACAGAAGACUGUGAGACCCAGGGCUGCUGUGAUUAGGCAUUCAUAAUUUCUUUUCAGGGUGUUUGUGCCCUGAUUAUCAAAUGUACAGCUUGAAGGGAGUUCAUGUCUUAAAGUAAUGAAUUAAGAGUUGACCUUUGUUGACUGCUAAAAUAUUCUUAUAUGUGAAAGCAUCCUGGAAAAAUACGUUACCAGCUUAAAGAGAAAGAAACUAAUGAUUAUAUCUGAACUGAGCUAAUGCCUCUUCUCUUCCCCCAAACCUUAUCAGUUUGGAUGGCAAAGAGUAAUGAUGUGUCAGUUAAACAGAGCUAAUGCCUUCCUCUGCCUUGUCUUAAAGACUGGAUUGGGAGAAAAUUGAUAUUCUCACUACCAUAUUUUGGGCUGUAGGCAAGUAGCAUUUUACACAGGUUUCCUUCAAAAAUCCAACUCAAGUUGGAGCUCAUGUAUUUAAGACAUAGCUGGCCUGCUGAAUUUAACAAGUUAAACUUCAGUGGCCAUGUACAGUUAUAUAUCACUAUAUAUAUGUGUAUUAGGCUGUCGAGUUGGUCAUGUUUUUGUUGGUGACUUAGGCUUUACUUGAUAGCUCUUCCUUGACCUUUCCAAAUUGAGUACUGAUACAUGGAGCUUGGGCUUCUUCUGCAUCUUAUACAAAUGAGUUUGGUAAAGAAGCCUCUCCUUUACUGUUUUGAUGUUUAUAUUAGAAAUAACUUUUGAUUAUUUUUUUUCAUGUUAGGAUGAGAAACUGAAACAAAAUGUAAAUUUGACCGGUGCUAGACUUCUUAAAUUAUGGGUAGACUUAAAGUAUUAUUUUCCUUAACCAAUUAGAAUGCUAGUCUUCUAGUGUUCCCGGAAACAUGAGAGGUUAUGCAGUAGACCCAAGCAAUACCCUCUUAUUACAUAAUCAAGUGCGUAUAAGAAUUUAAAAAUAGGGAUAUGACUGGAACAUCACUGUACUUUACCAGGUCCCAUUAUAAAAUUAUCUAUGUUACUUUACCCAUAGCUUUGAAAACUAGUGGCAUAGUAUAUUUUAUAGUAUGCUGUUAGUGUGAUUGGCAUUGAACAGUGAUGGGAUAUAAUCACUCUACAAUCUAUAUGUUAUUAAAGUUUUCCAGCCUUAUAGAUCUCCCUUGACUGAAAAUUAGCUACUAACUUACGACUUAUUUUUUACAGCAGAUUGACUAGGUCUUUCCAGGAAAUCUGUUGAUGUACAAAAACAAAGUUUAAUUGCUAAUGUUUUUUUAAAAAAUAACUUUUUGAUAUUACGGAUACCUGGUUAUUUGGGCCUUGUAUAUUUUAACAUCAAAAUUACCUAUUAUAAAUCCAUAUAAACAGAAAAGAAAGAGAGUAAGUCUUUAGAUCAGAUCUGCAAACAAUGAUGGUACGUACUGUAGAAAAAUCUGGAACAUAGACUUACCAGUUCUUAGGUUCCAUUUUGCUUGCUUUUUAAAAACUGUGUCUUAUAAGUCUUCAGCAACUGGUUGGGAGAUUUUUAGAAAAAAUAACCUUUUAAUGUUAGAACAGUGUAGAGAUUUACAGAAUGAUUCUGAAGAUAGAGUUUCUGUGUACUUCACACCCAGUUUUUCCCAGUGUUAACAUUUUACAUUAGUUUGGUACAUUUGUCACAACAAACCAAUAUUGAUACAUUAUUAUUAACUAGAGUCCAUAUUUUAUUCAGAUUUCCUUAGUUUUUCCUUAAUGUUCUUUUUGUGUUCCAGGAUCCCAUUGAAGAUACCACGCUGCAUGUGUCCUUAGUAGUCAUGUCUCCUUAGGCUCCUCUUGGACAUUCUGAGCAUGUGAGACCUGAGGACUGCAAACAGCUAUAAGAGGCUCCAAAUUAAUCAUAUCUUUCCCUUUGAGAAUCUGGCCAAGCUCCAGCUAAUCUACUUGGAUGGGUUGCCAGCUAUCUGGAGAAAAAGGUAGUUUGGGGAAUUUAUUGUUGUAGUGCUUCUG
rnacentral:lncRNA from 1 species